rnacentral:rRNA from 1 species
AGAUUAAGUUAUUAAGGGCGCACGGUGAAUACCUUGGCACUAGAAGCCGAAGAAGGACGUUACUAACGACGAUAUGCUUUGGGGAGCUGUAAGUAAGCU